CCAGACUCCUACGGGAGGCAGCAGUGGGGGAUAUUGCACAAUGGGGGGAACCCUGAUGCAGCAACGCCGCGUGAGUGAAGAAGUCAUUCGUGAUGUAAAGCUCUAUCAGCAGGGAAGAAAAUGACGGUACCUGAGUAAGAAGCCCCGGCUAACUACGUGCCAGCAGCCGCGGUAAUACGUAGGGGGCGAGCGUUAUCCGGAUUCACUGGGUGUAAAGGGAGCGUAGACGGCCAAGCAAGCCAGGGGUGAAAGCCCGGGGCCCAACCCCGGGACUGCCCUUGGAACUGCAUGGCUGGAGUGCGGGAGGGGCAGGCGGAAUUCCUGGUGUAGCGGUGAAAUGCGUAGAUAUCAGGAGGAACACCGGCGGCGAAGGCGGCCUGCUGGACCGCGACUGACGUUGAGGCUCGAAAGCGUGGGGAGCGAACAGGAUUAGAUACCCCCGUAGU
rnacentral:rRNA from 1 species